ensembl:lncRNA
UGGAGGAGAGGAAUUCAACCCAGGGUCAGUGAUGAGGCUUGAUCUCUCAGAGCUUCUUAUGUAAUAAAAUUUUAUUAAAGUAUAAAAGGGGCUUCCCUGGUAGCUCAGCUGGUAAAGAAUCCACCUGCAAUGCGGGAGAUCUGGGUUCAAUCCCUGAGCUGGGAGGAUCCCUUGGGGAAGGGAGCGGCUACCCACUCCCGUACUCUGGCCUGGAGAAUUCCAUGGACUGUUUAUCCAUGGGGUCGCAAAGAGUCGGAUAUGGCUGAGCAACUUUCACUUUCAAAGUAUAAAAGAGAUAGCGAAAGCUUCUGACACAGACAUCAGAAGGGGACCGAAAGAGUGCUUCUGUGUUAGUUUUUAGCAAAGAGUUAUAUACCUAUUACCAAGCUGCUAAUUAGAAAAAAGAAAACGCCUCAGAACUGAGAGAGUUGCACCAGGCCCCUCACCAGCAACAUGCAUUUUGAGAUAACGUUGGCACAAGUGAGUCAAUCUGGGCCAUAAGACAAUUGACAUGAAUCUUGAAAUAAGGCAGAUUUCUAAGCAAAUGCAUAGUUCAUUAACAUAGCUUAAGAAAGACAUUUCCAUGAGGAAAACGCAUUGGUUAGCUCAAGGUUUGAGAUUAAGUUCAGGUGGAAAUAGGUGUUGCCAUGACAACACAGGAUUAGCUGAGAAAAGAAAAAAAAAAAAAUCUGCCAUUUGCAGUUUUAUUCCCUCCUGCCGCUUGGGGACCCCCAGCUUCCCAACUGAGGCUGUUAACACUCUCAAUAUAACAGUUGCCAGUUAUUGAGCACCUACUGUAUAUCUGACAUUAUGUCAUUUAUAUGUAUUUCUGACAUUCACACACUCCUAAAAAAAGAUGGUAUUUUCCUUUCUUUUUAAACAUAUAAGGAAACUGUGGCGCUCAGAGACUAAAUUACUUGCUCUAGAUCAUUGUGCCAGAAAUGGUGAAGCCAAGAUUUCAAAACUGUUAUGUUUUCUAGGACAAAUUUGAGUACCUGAGUAAAUGAAUGCAGUAUGGUUUCCUGUAUUCAUUUUUAAAUAAAACAAGGAGUAACCAAAGUAUAUUUUGAUAAUAGUGAUUAAACAAUAAUUGAUUGGUUGUUUAUAUCACUAGAAUUUUUAGCUUGUGAAGAUACAGACCAA